GGGAAGGUUAUUUGGGGAAAAUAUACAAAAAUGGAAAUAUAGAAAUUAAUCUGUAUGUUUUUAUUGGGGGUGGGUAUACCUGGGAACACAGACAACGGCUUGUCAAACAACUAGCCUAAGGCAUGCAUCAGUCAACAAUUUGGUGAGGACUGACAACACUCUUCAGCAGGUGCCAAACCACAAAACGAACAUGGCUGUAGCAAAUGGUGACAUUCUGUAGCAAAUGGUGUCAUUCUGUCAAUGUGCAGGUACAUGGCACAUAAAUUGUUGUAUACUCUGGUUGUGAACUCAGGUGCAUCUAAAGUGAGGAUAUAUACAGCUGGACAAAGUUCAAGCAGGGUGUUGAAUGUGUGCGCUUUGGAACUUUCUAAGAUUCAUAAAGUUAUUACGGUUUGUGUAAUGCUGCAUAACUGUGCUAGAAAGCUCCAUCUGAUUCAGAGAAAUUCAAUGACAGUGAUCCAGGUUUUGUUUUGUUACAAGAUGAUAACUUUGAUAUGAAAGAGAUUUCAACCCAGUGGUUCAUGAUGUUGAUAGCAGAGCUGUUAUUUACUAGUAAUACAUUUAUUUACAUGCUCUGUUAACACAAAACGAUAUUCAUAUUUUACAUUUUUCAUACAUCUUCAUUUUGAAUUUAAAUCAAUAUGCAACAGGAAAAUAAUGUUACAGUUAGAUGAUUAUAAUUGAGAACUUCAAUGCAAAACAAUUCAUAAAAUAAAGACAAAUUAACAAAAUAAUUAUGAAAAAUACA